rfam:Desulfobacterales bacterium S7086C20 S7086CLC20_contig000029, whole genome shotgun sequence.
AGAGUAGACCAAGCGAUCGCUCGUGCUAUCGUAUAGUGCGGGAGGAAAGUCCGAGCUCCAUAGGGCAGGGUGCUCCGUAACACGGAGUCGUGGUGACGCGAAGGAAAGUGCCACAGAAAACAUACCGCCUCGUAACACUGGCCAUGGGGUUAGUUUGCGAGGUAAGGGUGAAAAGGUGCGGUAAGAGCGCACCAGUUCCUUGGGUGACCGGGGAAGCUAGGCAAACCCCACCUGGAGCAAGACCAAAUAGGGAAGCGCUUGAAGAUGGCCCAUCUGAGCUUUCGGGUUGGUUGCAAGAGGUAUUGUGCAAACAAUGCCCUAAGAUGAAUGAUCGUUAUUCCGUAAAGGGUGACCAAUACGGAAGACAGAACUCGGCUUAUGGUCUACUCUGACA